UGCUGGAGUGCUCACAGCGUGACUGCUUCAAUUCGACCACCAAUCAUGUGGCGGACAUGUCGCCUGUGAACAACAUCAGGCGUGUGGUGGAGAACAUGAGAGCUCUUUUCCAACACGUGAAGAGUGACGGUCUGGUGGAGGACAUAGGGCAGCAGGGUGGCUGGGACAUGCUUAUGAGGCUUAACACCUACCACAGAGGCGUGGCUGUGCUGACCAGGGCACUGCGAAACGCAGCACCACUCUGCUGUCCCGCGGUGUUUGAACAAACAGUCACAGCUCUCGCGCACAGACAGGAGCACAAGGAGAUCGGGGCCAUGGCUGUGUUUGCUGAGGUGGGCUUAGAGGCGAGGUGCCUUUGAAACCUUAGUCUGUCUGGCAGAGUGGGGAG
rnacentral:lncRNA from 1 species